AGUCGUGUCAUAAGAUCUUCUAGUAUGCCCUGUGUUAUAAUGUCUGCUGCUGACUGCUGAAUCGUAAGGUUUGCUGGUAAACCCUGUGUCAUUAGCUUUGCUGAUUGUUCCUUAAGUGGACAAGAUUCUGCCCAGAAAGCCAAGCCUGAGGGGAAUCUGUACCAGAGACCAACAGGUAAAAGCCACAACAAGGAGUCAUCGCGAAUCACAGAGAGCACUGAGAGAACAAAUUACAAAUCAAAAAAAUCAAGGACUGAUAUCACAGGGCAGCAGGUGGACAAUUGUUUUUUUGGAGACCCUGGAGGCAAGGACUGGGACCUGAAGGAGUUCAGGGCCAGAGCAACAGAGCAGAGUGAAAACAUGAAGUGAGGAGUGAGGUUAAAAGAAAACUAACAUUGAUAUCACUGCAACAGAAGGUGCUGAUUGGCAAAUAACUGGAUAACCUGACCCACAACAGCAGGGAGAGGAGACAGACCUGAGAAUGAGGUCACAACCACUGAGGAUGAGGUGUUGGAGAUCAUUGGUCAUCACUAUCCAAAGACCAGGCCUCAGCCAAGACAGGAGCCCAAAGACUUCACCCUGGAAACGAAGCAACUAAUGCCCCAUAGUCAACUGCUUCAUCAUCAACCUCUGCUGGCACAGUUACACCCAGUCUGGAAAAGUUCACAUGUAGAUUUGGGAGCACAAUCUGAUGCGCACACCACAGACACAUCCCAGGA